rnacentral:rRNA from 1 species
CACGUAGGGGGCGAGCGUUGUCCGGAUUUAUUGGGCGUAAAGAGCUCGUAGGCGGUUCGGUUAGUCGGGUGUGAAAACUUUGGGCUCAACCCAAAGCGUGCACUCGAUACUGCCGUGACUAGAGUUCGGUAGGGGAGUGGGGAAUUCCUAGUGUAGCGGUGAAAUGCGCAGAUAUUAGGAGGAACACCGGUGGCGAAGGCGCCACUCUGGGCCGAAACUGACGCUGAGGAGCGAAAGCGUGGGUAGCAAACAGG